UAUAUAUAUAGUAUGAUACUUGAUGUAUUAUCACAGUUUUAAGUUUGCUUUCAGGGGGUAGUAGAACAAUAGUGACUUAAAAAAUUAUCAUACUACAGUCAAAACUUUCUAUUUUAGAUCUACUAAUAUAAAUACUUUAAUGUGGAUAAUGAGAGAACAUUCAGUUUUCACCAUUCAGUUCAGCUACUUCAUACUGUAGCAUUUUACAAAUACUAUGAAUACCCAGCACAGUACUAUGGAAUGCUCGAUUCUGAUUGGUCAGAAUCUGUUUAUUUAUUCAUUUUCUAGAAAAGAGAGCAAAAAUGAGAGGCAAGUGAGGGGCUGACUGUUUAUACUUGACCUACCUGGUUUCAGGGACGUUCAACAGCAUUAAGCGUAACUAAAAUCAGAUAAAAGGUACAUGUUGGUCUUAAAUUAAUUAUUCAUUGUAAUAAUUGGAAAAUUGCUCAGGUACAAAAUGAGUGAAACCCUUCAGGAUAUGCUGUGCUAGGAAAAUAAUCAAUUUCGGUGUGAUAACACAUAGUACCACCCCACUGCUGAUUAAUUUCAAUAUCCUAUUCCUUACAUCAGUCUCAGACCUAUAUGGCAUCCCACAGUGUAUAUUAAUUGUUUAUAUACAUUAUAUUAUAAUUUCAUAUAAGAAAUUUUCACAGAAAUGUAAUAAAUGUUCUGCUACAGUUUUGAAAAACAUAUUCCUAAAUGUUAUGUGUCAAAUAAGUUAAAAAAUUGAUAAUAAUUUUAUUGUAUUAGCCAUUCCUGAUAAUCUGCUCUAUGUCUAUGCCUAUGCUGACUCAGUUAUGAAUGUAAACUUACCACAUAAAUGUACAACAUGUAUUUGUAAAUAUAAUUGAGCCAUAACACUAUUUUAUGAAUAAUAACACUCUGUGAGACAUUAUGUGAGCAUAGGUCUUUGCAGUACAGCCAGGAAUAAGCGAAUAAGGGAGAGCAUAAAAGCUAAAAUCCCAGUGGAGUCGUGCAGCGCAGCACUUAGCUCAUCCCUCUCGCCAUGCUCCUGGGGCAGCUUUAAUAGCCAAUAAGAGAGGUCAUAAUUAAUACCCCUAUACAGGCACUAAUAAACAAUUCCAAAUUGGCACCAUAAUCAGAUGAUGCAAACAUCUACGAGUUACAAAAGUUCACAGCCACAACUGACAAUUUCUUAAUUGUAUUCAGUCAUUCAUGGAAAUUUUAUUAACAUGGAGCUGAUGUAUCCUGCCCUUCCUCUGUCACAACACCAGGGAUCUAAUUUCAUUAUUUUCCACAAGAUUUGCUUGACUACUGCCACGAUUCUAAUGCUGCACCAGUCCAGAUGUUUAUGCUAUUUAAAUUAGAAGGCAAGGCCUGUUGGGUAAACAUAAUUAAAGAAAGUUAAGAUUUUUUUUCUUGCCCUCUCUUUGUCUCUCAGCGCAAACCCCCCCCCCAAGUUUACUUCAUUAGACAACUUUCAAUUAACACGAGAUGCCACAUGGUCCUCCGGUAUCGCGCAGGCCUCCACAGAUCUGUGCUCGGCUCAGGGUGCCGUGAAGGAGCCUUACGCACAUCAGCGCACACUGAACACGGGCACAACAGGAAGUGCUAGACAGGGGUGAAGGUAAGACCAAGGCCAAGGAAGGAGUUUCAAUAUGAAGUGUGUGAUGCAUAGUAGCACCACUGGCAUGUUUGCAGUCAUGCAAAACAUAGGUGUUCCUAAGCUCUGCCCUGCAGGACUGAACUUGUGGGACUACUUGUUAAGCACGACCUGUCUAAAACUAUCUGAGAGACGUAAUGAAUGGACACUGGACACCGAUGCAGCUCAUAAGGAAGUAAUCGUCAAUCGUUAUUCUCAAGAGGACACACAGAGUAUUCCGCAUUCUGCUAUUGUAGCGACUCAGGCAGUCGAGAUGAAUUCUAACGGCGGUAACUUGUGAACCCACAGCGUGCAUGUGUUUAAAAGUAUCAUCAAGGUCCAGGCCAGUGAUGAGAGCAUUAUUUCUGCUGUUUGGUGAAUACUAAACAGCUGGCCAAACACUAUGUGUGUGUGGGUGCAUACAAAAAAGAGUGGGAAAUUAUAUCAUUCAUGUCAGAGUGCUAAUAGGCCCGGCCGCACUCCAAAUUUAAUUUCGUAAGCCGCUGUUCUUGAUCCCCCCCCCACCCCCUUUUAAGAUCAGCAGCUAACAAAUUAAAGGCAAUAUCACAGACAGUGUAAUACAAGAGGUCAUUACAAGAUUAUGUAAACUCUAGACUUGCAUUACCAUUCUGCCUCCAUUUACAUGUCCAUUAUUUUGCCAGAAAUUAGUGUGUGAUUAGAAAGCACAGUAGCCUUUUCUCUUCACAGACAGAUCUGGGCAUACAGCAAAGGGAAAACUGGCCAUUUGUGGUGGGGAUUUAUAGAAUUAUGCUAUCAUUUGUUUUGUUUGUGAUUAUUUUAUUUUUUUUGGUCGGCGUGAUUACAGCAACGCCUCGGUCAUAAAACCUAAUCAUUCUGUUCUCUUUCUCCCACCAUGGCCCAAACCUUUCAUUUCUCAUAUUUGCUAUAAACAGCCACAUCAGGGGUAAAGAGGAAGAAAAAGCGGCCUGAGCAGCAUUCUGCCAGGACCGUACAUCCGUUUAUAAGUAUGCAGCGCAUGAAGUGUUCGCCAUACUUUAGUGCACAGGAGCCGAGUAGCUGUCAAAAUUACAACAAGCAUCUCAAGUAAUUAUGCAGAUUUAUGCAAAACAUUAACAAGAAGAAUUAAAUGCACAAAUGAGGUGGCUACACUUGAAUUGUUAAGAUUAUGAAUAAUUACCAUGAAUCUUUUUUGCUCUUAAUAUAACUUGUUUUUGAUAAACAAAGCCUUAAUUAUCAGAAUACUUCUGAGGAUAUCGGUGACCUUCAUUAAUCUUACAAAACAAGUCUCUGGUGAGCGCCAGCGGAGCAGGAGAUGCGUUAUGCUAACUAGCCACUUCAGAGAGUCGAGCGUGUGGCCAGGUAUAUCUUACAGCUAAGCCACGGAUGCACGAUCAUGCCGAGUGCCUAAGCCUUUCCAUCUGGGACUCCCCAUUCUGGCGACUCAUUAAUUACAAUCAUAUUUCUCAUCACCUUCUCCCUUCCCUCCUCAACAAGAGAGAUCUCCUUUCUUCACCUGAUUCUGCCACAGGAAUAAUUGUUACAGCGUUGUGAUUCCUGUCGUUUCUGAGUGCUAUUUGAUCACUGGAAGCUGAAUUCUGCCUGGCUGAGAAACCUUAGUGCGCUCUUCAAUGCACUGCCCUCGGUAUUGAUUGUCACAACGGCUUGUCAAUCAACAUGUAGCCUCCACGCUCCUCUUCCUCCUACACAGUCUCUCGGUACAGACUGAGGGUCCAUCAAUCCAACCUCUAGCACUCCACUCGUCCUCGGCACAUUCAUCCUCGCUCCACCCCUCCAUCUGUCCCUUAUAUACAGUGCUCCUGCUUUCCCGGGCACAGAGAAUGGAACAGAUGAGAACAGGCUCCAGAACUGAACAACCAUUGGACAGGAGUUUCCUGGUAAAAUAACAAUGUGCAUCAAGGUCUGCUUGAUUGUUUGUGCUGCACUUAUUUCUUUUUUUAAGACACACUUUCUAAGCAUCUCAGACUCUCCUGUGUGUGUGUGUGUGUGUGUGUGUGUGUGUGUGUGUGUGUGUGUGUGUGUGUGUGUGUUUAACAGCUCUUAAUAUUUCCUUAUAGCUCCUGUCUCAGAGGAAUAGCUGAACAGGCUUUUUGGUUAGUGUCAUUCUUUCUCUCCUUGGAAUGCAGAUGCUCUCUGCCAAGGUGUCAUGCCUUGACACUUUGAAGACCAGAAUUAAUAUACAGCAUAGCUUCAGGAGAGAGAUAGAGUGAGGAGCUUAAGAUGCUAAUGCUAAUAUUGUACUGGGCAGUAGGUUUGGUGUCCACACUUCACAGCGUAAAAGAAGAAUGAGAGCAGAACAAAGCCCACUCAUUCUUUUUGUUAUGAUAAUGUCGCUAGUGCACCUAGUAUGCACUUGGGAGAGUAGAGAGCUGCGAGAGGUUGUUUAGCAUGCUGAGGUGUGUGACACACAUGCACACACUUCUGGUGCAGUGCUCCCUAACCCUCGCAUCUGCCUUUCUGUUUCUACGAUGACAUACUGUACGGCAGUUAUACAGCAACAAAGCUCAACUAGUUACAAUCGUAGCAAAACAAUCAUAUGAUGCAGCUAUACAAACGCUAUCAUUCUUCAAGCAAUAUUAUCCACCAUUUCCUCAGAAAUUGCAAAUACAAGCGUUGUGAGGAUUACUAUUUAUUAUGAGAUAAUAAUAAGGAUUAUUGCCUUUGUAUAUUGAUCUGUACAAACACUGUAAUUCAGGCAGUAUGGCACAGACAGAUGCAGCCAAUAGCCUCCAUUUGGUUUACUGCUCCUCUUCGCAACAUCAAUGCUGCAAUAUUGGAGGACUUUGCGUAAAAAAGAUGGUUGCUGUUAACCUGUUAAGUAGUUCCAGAUUUACUGAGUCUAUUUCUACAUUUUCCUUUUUCGAAUCAAUAGGUGAGCAGGGCUUCUUCCACUGCAAAAAAAUCUGUUCAUUUUCCACACAUACACAUCAAUACCACAACCCCAUAGUUCAUUCCUUUUCAUCCUCAUGCUCAGUUUUAGGCGAUUUUUAAUAGGACUAGUCUUCGGUUCAGAGACAUUUCCCACAAGGCACAUACGCUUUAAAGUUAUUUUAGGCUGUGGGCUUAGACUAUUGAGGUGCGAUUUGUGGGAAGAACUGACCCAUAGACUAAAGCGCUGCCUGAUCCGGGUAACCCACACACCCCACGGGUCACGUCAUGCCCGUUACACAGGCACAAAUCUUGGCAUCACAUCUCCAUGUGUGAUCCAAGGUGCACGCAGGAAAACUUGCCUGGGGAAGCAGGGUACUUUUUUUGGAUGUACGUGAAAACCAAGCACUAUUGUUUUGUCCGUUAUGUUUAUACCGAACGGCAAGAAAGUAUUUUCUCGUUGGCGCGCGCUUAUGAGGAUGCAUGGUGGUCGAGAAUGCGUUUGUGGAUGGGCAAUAAAGCAGCUCUCAGGCUGAGCCCAUUAUUAUUCCGCUAAUGAAGUUGAGAUAGUCGUUUAAUUUGCUGUGUGUCGGUGUCUGAGCGGAGCCUGCUGUGUUGUGGUUCAGCACAGUGCAGAGAGGAAAUCCGCUCUCAUGCUGCCUCCAGUCUCAGCCCAGAGUCUCAGCGUCUGACCCUAAGGCUCCGAGGCAAACAGAUGUCCCCUCAGGCCCCCAUAAGGCCUCUUUAAUUAUCCCUCUCUCACCUCCCUAAUAAAACAUUAAGCCUACUAAUCGAAUCGGAUGCAGAUGACCUGUACUUCCAGUGCAGUCCUUUCUCCACAUGAAGACAUAUUUAAGCUUGACAACACGCACACACAACUUGCACAUUGUCCAAACAGCCAUACCCCAUCAGCCAUCAGAUGAAUUAGAAGCAAGAAUCAACAAACAGCUCGUUUUCAGACAUGAGCAGAAACUAGAUUAAAACCAUCAGUCAUUUUAAAUAUAAACCAUCUGGCUCUGCUUGAUAGACAUUUCAUACUUUUUAUGGCUUCUGCCUCGAUGAGUCAUUAUAUAAACUCAGGUUUUUUCACAGUUCUCACAUUAAAACUCUCUUACAAGCAGCUCUACUUUUUUUGUUCUUCUUUUUUCCUAAAUGAGUUUCGGAUUCUUAGAUAUUCCACAUGCAUUCGCAAUACCGUGACCACGAGUGGCAGUGUGACAGGUGCGUUUUUUUGUUCGGUGCUGUUGUGCCACAGUACUUGUGUGAGUAAAGCAAGCACAGUAGAACCUGUUAGACUGACCUGCUAAAUGUAUUCUGCUCUCAAUAACCGGUCCGAGUUGAAAUUCAUGUAAAAUGCCUGCAACUCCCGACGCUUUUAAAAGCCACAUCUGAUAGUAGAUAAUGACAGAGAUUUCAGAGCCAUUAUAGAAGGCUAUCAAAUAUUCCAUUCUUUUUUUUUUUUUUUUUCCACAUUCAGAUUUGUAAAACAUCCACAGAGAGGCUGCCACUGCUCAGUAUCUACAAAACACAGAGAAAGAUAAGACCUGCCUGGUACCAACUGAGGCUGUGACAAAGAAAUAAGAAAGUGCUUAUCAAAAUGAAAUGCACAAAAUGUAAGACUUACCAUGGCUGAGAUGUUUGAAUUUGCACCAAGCUAAAGGUCAGCAUAUUAAAUAAACAAAUGCAAAACAAUGUGAGGUUUCCAGCAUGUGGAAUCAAGACCAGAUGAAGAAAAAAGUAUGAAAAACUGAAAAUUGGUAGUUUUAUUAGUUAUGUGUACCCUAUAAGUAAUGUAAGAGACCACCAUAACUCUACUGCUGACCAGAUCUAUGGCAGCACAGCAACAGUACUGACACAACACUGGCACAGAUGCAUCCGGACUAUGGUGUACCGUUGUUGUUUUCUGGGUUAAAUAUAAUUCGAUCAUCAAAAAAUGUCUUCUAACAGCAGUCGUGUAAAAAAAAAUGUAUUUAAAAAAUGUUGAAAAAUGUGAUAAACAGCAAUACUUGGGGUAGAAAUACAUUAAACAAAUUCAUUUUUAUCAAUUCAAAUGUAACAAAUGAAUUAAAAUUUAAAAAUGAAAUCUAAAAAGUCUUCUAGGCUGAAAAUAAUGAGCUAUGAAAAUAAUGAAAAACAUCCAGCUAACAGCAGUCCUGUGGUCAGAAAAUGAAUAAAUAGUUUUAUUUUUUUUUUUUAAAUAAAAAAAUCCAAAUGUAGAUGCGAAAAAAAUCGUUCUGACCAAUGAACAACACAGAGAAAAAGAGAAGAAGAAAAUGAGCGGUUCAGCAGACACACAUCAAAAACUUGUCCGUAAUGUGCAGGCAUUCACCCAUUUGACCAACAGCUUUCAAUUUAUUAGCAUGACAAAAGACACAAUCAUUUUGGAUAUGCCUGAAUGCUAUUUUCAUUAACUUUGCAAUGAUUUAUUAACAAAAGUGUCAGGAAUGUAAUAAAAGCAGCAGGACUUGGCAAAAAAAACUAAAACAGGAAAAUAGAAAGAAUUAAACAAUAUAAAACCAAAAAAAAAAAAAGAGAGAGAGAGAAUGCGAUCAAAAUCAAGAAAAAGUAAGGAAAUAAGAAAUAAGAAAAAAAAGAGAGAAGGGAUGCAGGGUUUAUCUUGCAUCAUCAGGUGAACAAGAUUUCCCAACUCCAUCUCUGACAUCGCAGUAACUAAACUGUGCAAUUAACACAGAAACAUCUCAUUUCAGUGUAAUUACCCGGCAGUGAAAGUGAGACAGAGGAGGCAAUACCAUCAUCAGCCAGGCCUGUAUUAGCCAUGACAUACAUGCACAUACCCUGACAUGUACACACACACACACACACACACACACACACACACACAAAACAGUGUAUUGCAUGGUAUAAACUCAUGCCUUGAGUGAGGAAACAGGAGCCCGUACUGGCCUUGUUGACAGUUACUUCCACUUAUCAUGUGGCUUGUCUGCUGUUUCUGUUGGUGGGGCAGAUUUUUUUUUUAUUUUUUCUGCGCACAGUUCACAUUUUUCUUUCUCAAAGUUGCAAAAGCACAAUAGCAUCAUUCUUCAAGACGAUGGCAAGACUGAACACACUGGAAAUCAUCAACUGUGCAUUAUUCUCCUCUUCAGUCCUGGAGAUUGCCUGUGCUCAUAGAGAUUUUCAUCAUUUAGUUCAACUCCAACUUCUUGACUAAAUCUUUCUCCGGUUUCAUGCUCCCCCUCACAAAAGCAUGAAUUACGAAGCAAACUCUAUGCAAAGACUGUAUUUUGGGGAGGCAAAAAAAAAAAAAAAACAGAGGAAAAGAUAACAAUACAGUAGGAAAGAAAAUAUGAGCCUAGUCCAGAGUUGUGUAAGAAUAGCUCAAAUCACUAAGUGAAAGAGCCUCUACAGAUCCUCCACUUCACUGAGAUUUGAUCAAUUAAUAUCUCUUGCUGACAUAAUAAAUCGCAGACAGCAGUGAAAGUAAAUGUUCAAAACACAGCACCUGUUGUGUCAGCAGGCUGCUUUAGCAAAUUAUCAAAGCUACUUGAUGACUGACUGUGGAGAUUUAGGUAAUAAUAAUGGAGGACCUGGCAACCACAUACAAUCCCCUGCAAUUCUUUACAACAGUUGGUACUGCACAGACACUGGCAUGAUGGAGCGCAUCAUACUGUGUGUACAGUAACAUUCUGUUGUGUUUUUGGACAGUGUCCACCUUCAGGGCUCACAUUUAAAUAAAAUAAAUAAAUAAAAAAACCCUCCCUUCAGACUGUUAACAGAACACUUAGUAUUUCUCAGCAUAAUCUCUAUGUGGUGCAUCUGUAGUGUAAUUAUCAUUAACAUGGUCAAGAAAAUCAACAUGUUUUCCUGAACUGAGAACAAAACAGCAAAUUCACUUAUAAUGGAAGUCUAUAAACACUUCAACAAACAUAAGGCAGACAUGAGAGAAUGUCUGAUCAAAACGGGGCAAACUCUGGAGCAAUAAAAUCCAUUUAUGUACGCUUUUCAUAAGAUCAUGUGCUUCGCAUGCAUGAUCAGGCACAAACCUGCACAAUUUUCUGUAUACUAAACAGUAUGUGUUUAUACUGGUUUACACAUAGGCACAAAUUCUUCCUUCUGAAAAAGUUAAAGGACAAAUAAUACAGAUGUAAAGCUUGAUUUGCAAACACCUUUGAAACCAUUCUGCAAAAGUCAAGUCAAGUGGGUUUUUGUCAGUUCUUCUAUAUAGCUUGUAUACAUUGGAACAAAAUGUCGUUUCUCCAGGACCAUGGUGCACAAGACUACGUGUGGGGAAAAACAAGUCGGAUGUCACUGUGGCUGAAUUCCGCAAAAAUAAAUAAAUAAAUAAAUAAAUACAUUUUUUUUUAAAAAAAAUCUGAGUUUAGCCUUAAGCAAUAUAACAUGAACAUGAGUGCUGUUGUAGUAAAUAUUAGCACAGCUGUGAUUUGGCCAUAAGCAUGAGGCUUCAGGUAAUCACAGCUGUGCUGAUAUUUACUAGAACAUUAUAACUGAGAGUGUGAUCUUGCUUUAAUACAACAGAUCUACAAACAACAAAUUCUUAUCCAGUAACUGACAUUUCAGGCACAAUGUGGCCAAAUAUUUUGUAUAUUUUUCUCAGUCAACGAAAAAUAGUUCCUAAAGAAGGCACAGCUGGAUAGAGCAUUGUGUGACUGACAGCUCGUAGUAAAUGUAAUAACCGUUUCAAAAGAUUUGAAGUAUUACUUGAACUGGAAGUUUUAUGUAGUGAACACAGAUAAGUGGAGUGAUAUAAACCAGUACCAGUUAUAUUAUAGUAAAUAUCAGCACUCUUAGAACACCACUUGUCCCAAUCAAAUUUGUGGACCAGAACUAACUGUUGUUAAAUAUAUUUUUACACCACAACCAUAAAUAUAUUUAACCAGGACAGCAUGGAAAUGUUGUUGUUUUUACUUUUUAAUCUUGCCUAGCCUUUCUGCAAAGAUCACAUUGGGUAAAUAAGUAUACAAAGGCAGUUGUAAAAACAGUUAGACUACAAAAAUAUGUCUAAAACCUCGACACCUGAUUUAAUCGUGCAAUGAAUGUCACACUUUCAUUGUUGGAUAGUUACUGUACCUGCCAUAUCAAAAUGGACAUAAGCCUAAUCAAUUCCAUUUGUAAUUGCGGUGUAAACAUCACACUUCUACACAAUACAAUACGAUUUUGGUUCAUAGAGCAAUGAUUUGAUACGGUAUUUGAUGAGAACACUGAAUCUGCUACAAUACAAUACAAUGUGAUUCAAUUUAGAAGAUCUAUAUAUAUAGACCAAUUUUUUUUUCUAAAUCAAGAGAAGGCCUAUCGUUUAUUUCUAAAUGAUGACGAUGUAGAGAAAACUAGUUUAACUAGUUUAUCAGUUACAAGCAAAUCAUUUUGCUAGGCUAUUAAAUCAUUUACACAUCAAUUUAAAAACCAUGAAUGAUUUUUUUACAUAUCAGUUGCCUGUCUUUUUUCAAUAAUAAUCAAUAAUUCAUAAUCAGUUCUAAUUGAUCUCUAAACAAUUUAUGAUCGUUACAUUGAUUCAUCUCGAUCAGUCCAAAUCAUCCAAACAUUACACAUCAGAUACCAGCUGCAGAAAUGUCCCACAUGCUCCUGUGCUGCAGUCAGAAUGGAAACUUUAAACGCAAUUUUCUCCCAUUUCACUUUUGGGUAGAAUGUGUUAACUUUACUUGUGGUUGAGAUUAGUGGUUGACCGAUAUAUCGCCAAGGCAUCGCCAUCGAUAAAUCUUCCCAUUCGGCUGAAAAGUGACAAGCCGAACUUUUGACACCAUUAUAGCGCAUUCUUCAUAAUUCUGGCAAAAAAAAAAGCCCACUCAGACAUGACGAGAGCAUCUAACAGACAGUAAAAUGACCAGUCUUCAUUUGCUUUUUAAUGUGCCAUUAUGCAAUGUUACUCACAACAACGCUAUGGCGUGCAACAAAGUCUUAUUCAAACAGUACCGUGAGAAGUUAGAUCCGCAGCCCAGCGCUAGUGAACAAGCUCAUGGUGAGCUCCGGCAGAGACACAGAGACGUGCAAUAAACAAAUUCAAACAAAUCUGAAAACAUUUUACCUCACAAACAAUCACAAAUCCUGUGACUGGUUCUUCCUUAGAGACACAUGUUGUCUUCUGUAACUUUUAAACAUUGUUUUACUGGGACUCAAAAGCCUGUGUAUCCCGAAUGAAAGCUUGGUCAUUUGAGCUGGAUGAACCCUGAACAUUGUAUGGUUUAGUGUUAUAUUAAUCCACGAUUAAUUCAAUAUCAUGUGUAGUGCACAUUUUCAUGUGUUCCAAUCUUUUUUGAUGCUAAGCUACAUGCUACUAACUAAUCAUGUAAUGGUAAGAAACAUAAACCUUUUGUCAUGCGGGCUUGUAUUAUUUUUACAAAGAGGCAGAUAAUCAAAACACAACAGACAUAAAUAUGUAUUAUUCAAAUAAUGUCCUAUACUUUGACUUAAGAAAGUAAAACAACCUGUUACUGCUUAAAGUAACUAUAUGAGAUGUAUGAAUAGCUAUAUAUUGUAGAUAAAAUAAAUUUUUAUGUAUUACACUUACUAUUUUUGUGUUUCAUUAAUGACUAUUGGUUAGAUUUGUUUAUUAAGUUAAUUAUAAAUGUUAUCAAUAACCUGUUACUGGAUUAAAGCAGCACUAAUUACUUAUGUGACGGGAAAAUCAAAUUAUACAUACGUUUUUUAAUUAAAAUGUUUUCUGUGUUCUGCUAGAUGGCUGGCACAGACAGCAAGACACAAGCAGAAGCUGCAAUAAAACUUAUUUAUUUUGACAUGUUCAAAGCUUGCUGAACUAAAACAUGUUUCUCUUUUGCAUGUAUCUCAACUAGUAGUCCACCGAUAUGGGGUUUUUAAUGAACAAUGUACAAAUGUACAUGUACAAAUUUCUUAAAUGGAUAUUUUGUAAAGUUCUUCAGAGAAUAUUACAUAAAUAUUAUGCGCAAUAAAUGCUCAUUUAGUUUCACCAAUUUUCUGUACAUCUAAUUUUCUGCAAUUAAAUUUAUGCUAUAUUGGCCACAAUGCUUUCUAGAUAUCAGCAUGGGCCAUUAAGAAACCCGUAUCGGUCAACCACUAGUUGAGAUACAUAUAAAAGAGAAACAUGUUUUAGUCAACAAGCCUUGAACAUGUCAAUUUCCAACAUGUGAAGGGUUUUUCCAGGCCAACGCAUCUUUUGCAGAAAUCUUUAUUGACUACCCAAGCAACUCCUGUUCAUUAUAAGUACGUUUUAAUUAAACAUGUUUUACUUAUUUUUCUCAGUACAGCAAAAUGUGUUGAAAUUCUUGCCUGCUGCAAUCACACAGAGAUGAGAUUCAUCUGAAAAAAAGGCUGGAUUAUUUCUUUAAGUAAUAUCAAUCAUGAAUUCAAUUAGUUGAGACUCUACGAUGCAAAAUCCAAACAUGUGUUCAUUUAUGAGGUCUGCAUGUCAGAAAUGACACUCAUAUAUACUACACAGCCUUCAAUUUUAUGUAAAAUAAUCACUGAGAGAAUGACAGAGGGACCAGUAUGAUUAGCUGAACAUUAGUCUCAUUUAUAUUUGAGAGAUAAAUAUUCACCUGCCUUCCCUAAGGACGAAUGUCAGGGUGGUUUAGCAUGGCUUGGAAGAGAAAAGGGGGGGGGGGGGGGGGGGGGGCAUGUACUCCUUAUAUAUAGUCAGCUUCUAGAGAAGCUUAUUCUGGCAAAGGUGCCUGAUGAAUGAGGUUCCUUUCUCCAGCUCUUUCAGGGAAAGAAAAUAAGCUCAACAUUGCAAUUUAGCAAGCUGUAUAAAUCAGUUCGUGACCACAAAUAAUUCUGCAAGGAGAGAAUUUAUAUGUUUAAUUACAGCAUGCAGGUGCCAGGCGUGUCUUCCUCAUUAUUCUAAGAUAUAUGAAACACGCUUAAUAACAUGUACACCAGCAGGACAAAAGGAAGACAAAGCAAUUAGUUGGGCAUUAUUUAAUAAGCUACUUCUAGGAGAUGCUCCACUUUGGCCUGGUACUUCAUAACCUACAUCUCAUUUCACAAUGAGAGUGUUCCAGAUUACUCUAGAAUGGUUGUCUGUGUUAAUUGGUAUUUACAUUUAUCAUUAUAAUAGUAAUUACAAGAGGUAGAUUUCUUUCCUUGUGCUAUUCUUCCUUGAGUAUAGUAGGCUACAGGAAGGGAGUGGAUAUUGUGGUCAAACAGUGGCAACCCUCACAUAGGGGGUGAAUUUUUACAGCCUUUGUGUUUGGAAAGGGACAACCAUUCAGCUCAUAUCUCCUCACAGCAUCAAACAAACAAUGUGAAAAAAGAAAAAAACUGAAGACACUGCCCUUCCAUGCAGGAGCCUGGAAGCAAAUCAACAUGCCAAUGCAGGUGGCAGGAGGUUCAAAUACCAAGCAGAUAAUGGUCACAAGAGAGCGAGAGCAAGUUAAAGAGCAGUGAUGUGAAAGCCACAUGUGUGCUGGGCUUCUCUUUUUUUUCACCACAGGCCAUAUGCCCUCACUGCACUCCUAGCCUGGAGAUAUUUAACCUGCCAGCACAACCAGGCCCAGAUCCUCUGUGUUUUCUAACCCCCCCUUUCGCUCUCUCUCUCCUGGAGUUACUCAGUGAUCCCUUCACAUGAGGCAGGACCUCACCUCGCUGCCAGCUUCCCUACAGCUGCUUGUACUUAUACACAUUCUGUAUUAAGCUUGGCCUGUGCUGGUUUGGCACUGUUUGGUAAACGGGCACUAGUGAACCAUGGGAAUAUCUUGGCUAGGCUGACCACAUGGCCAUGCCCAGAAUGACAUGGGCUGCCUGGCCUGAGUCAGUCUCACCGGACCCAUCUGGGCAUCGCGCCGGACACAAGCCAUUGACUAAAAUACUAUAUUUCACUCCAAUAUUACCCAAGCAAGCACGUCUUUGCUAUCCUGCUGGUGAAAACCAAAGGUCUAUUCAGACAAAAUACAUACCAAAGUUGUGAUAUGGUGUCUAUAGUUGUUUAUACAGGUGUACCAUUUCACUAUAGCAGAAAGCUUAAAGGAAAUGUCCACCCUAAACUACAUUAAAUAUGUUUAUAUUAAAAUAUUUGUAAUGUGCCUAGCAAUUCUGAUGAUUUUUUUUUGGUGGAUGCUGUAUUAUUGUUGUUCUCAUGAGCAUGAAAGUUAGUGGUUGUGUGAAGUGCUGAUGUCACAGAAAAAAAUUCAGCAAUCUCAAACAUAAAGAAAAACGAUCAAGUUUGAACCUAAAAACAAAAGAGCAAGAUAAAAAAGUGGACUCAAAGUUCCAGAAGGCAAUGCAGUUGUACGAAACAAUUACGCUAAGUUAUGUCAGAGAUUCAUUUUGGCUAGUUAGUGAUCUAUGAGAUGACAAGCAUGGCGGCAUUGACAACGGUAUUAGCAUGAAUAUCGAAGCUUUGAAACUGGAGCUGUUUGAGCAGAGUGUACAAGGUGAGAAGGUGAGAGAGCUGAACAGACUAACAGACUAAAAGACUGAAGUGCUGCUUCAUCAGUCCUGACAUAGAGCUGAAGCAAGGCCUAAAUCCUACUGCACCAUUAUCAGCAGGUACUGGAAAUGAACAGCAUUGUGGGAAGGAAACUGUUAACCAAAAGGAAACAGACCAACAUGUUAAUGAAGAAAUAAAAAACAACUCAGAAUUUCAUUGCAAAAUCAAUCUUUGAUGUCACUGAAGCUCACAUGUUAAUUAUUAAUAAGAGAAAAAUGCAAAAUGUUCAAGGUUGAUUUUACCUUUAAGGGUUGUUUUAAGCACAUAUAAAGCUUAAUAAUAAAUAUAAAAAUUCUGAUGAGAGAAAGAGAAGGCAGUUGUAAUACAAUUUAAACGUGCAGCAUUUAACAAGAGUGGACUCUAACUGAAAGUGAAGUGUCAUGAUGGCACCCAAAGGGCGUUGAACUACACUUUCCAUCAGCACCGGAAUGUCACAUGUUUUCAAUCACUCACACGUGUGUCUCAUCUCAGCCUGAUAACCGUUAUAUAAGUCAUUCCCUGCGUCCCAACUGGUAUACUAUCAGUACUAGCGUGUACAGAAUUAGUGUGUCCCAAAUGGUAAUAUAGUGAAAUUAGUACCUGGAUGGUCUACAAUUUAUGGUAGAUUUUUGAAGUGUGGAUCCGUGGACAUUUUUUCAGCUAUUACCCAUAAUCCCUUGCACGAGGGAGGAAAAGUUUUGUGAAGGUUUGCUUCACCAAAUUCAAGGAAGCAUUUUAAAGAGGUGUGAAUGAAAUUUGGAAAAUUUCUUAACAAAUAGAGUACAUACUUUUAUGUAUGCCAAUUGGGACGCAGGGACUAUGUUUCAGCAUCUGGUUGUCAAGCUUUUGUGUGUUGGUGUGUACCUUAGUCUCUAUCAUAGUCUUUAUGUUCCCUUUCAAAGGGAACUCAACGUUGCUUGAACUUCACGCUGUGGGAAGCUCCCUGUUUAUGACCCUGCGACGUUGGAUUAUUCGGCCAUCAUGGGGGAUAAACAUUACAGCUAUUUUGCUAUGCCGAAGGUACAGGAGGCACUUGCGAGCCACCUCUCUCCAUCGAUGCCAGCAAAAUCAGGAGGCCAGCUUUGCCAUCCAGGCCGUGUAAGACCACCUAUUCGUUGGUUGGUGAAGCCUACAUGGCAGCAAGACUUGCUUGUGGGUAUCAGCAAAAAUGGCAGUGUUGCAGGCCUACCAGGCAGAACUGCUGAAUUGCUAGGGGGCACAGAAGGUGAGUGUGGCAGCCUGCCUCCACCUGCAGAAAGCCAGGGGGACCGGGCAGCCACAGUUGCAGCCUGCUAGUAGGCCUGAUUUUAAAUGAUAAUCAGUGCCAAAAAGACAAAAAGAAGCAGUCCUGAAGGGCUGCGGAGGGAGGUAUCAGGGGACGAGAGGUUGUUAGGACAGUUAGCCCCCAGUAUUACUGUAGUGCUCCCCUAGUCAAUGUCGUCCCAAGUUUUCAGUUUUCUCUGGUCAGCGAGCUGUCACAGGGCAAGGAAAAUCUGAUGCUUUCCCUCCAACAAAAUGUGGAAAGUUAACGUCACUAGAGACCAUCUGGCAGCAUGGAAACUACAGCCAAAUGUGUCUCCAUGGGUUCUGUCUUCCAUAGAAAAGGGUUCCGGGCCCAGUUCAUAGCUCGACACCUCCCACAAUAGACAGCACAAUGCAGAGCCCGAUGUUAGCCCAAGAAGUGGAUCUCUCUUGGACAAAGGUGCCAUAUAACAUGUACCUCUUUCUCUGAGGCAGGGGGGUUUUACAGCCGUUAUUUCCUAGUCCACAGAAAAGACGGGAUAUAUGGAUAUAGAAUUUUAGAUCUGUGCCAUCUGAUCCAUAAUCUUUGGACAUACAGGUCCAGGAUGUUGACGCUCAACCUUAUCGUUCCACAGACUCAGUUUGAGGAUUGGUUUGUGAGGAUAGAUCUAAAAAAAGGUGCAUAUUCCAUUGCCCAGUCACAGGAAAUUCCUGAGGUUCUCGUUUGGAGGCAACGCAUAUCAAUAUUGGUUCUUCCAUUCGCUAGCUUUAUCCCCUCGCACCUUCAGGAAAUGUAUGGAUUUCGCGUUGGUUCCUUUGCGACUCCAGAUUAUCCGUGUGCUAAACUACCUGGACGACUGGUUAAUUCUAGUGCGGUCCAAAAAGUUCAACAUCAAGAUGUUGUUCUCAUCCACAUGAAGAGCUUGGGGCUCAGGUUGAACCUCAGGAACAGUUGGUUCUCCAGACAAGAGCUGGGAUUCGAAUACAAUGAGGGCAUGUCUAUCCCCAACACACGCAGGGCAAAUCCUAUCAACAUUGAGCAAGAUAGACUUGGCAUCCCCUCCAGUCUCUACGGAGACUGUUGGAGCUUAUGUCAGCAGCAGCCAAUGUCAUACCAUUGGGCCCAACGCACAUGAAACCGUUCAUUUGUGGCUGAAGGUCGGGGGUUUCAUCAGAGGACGAAACCCCUGGGAGUAAUCAGUGUCAGGCGGCGAUUUUUACAUGUUCUGAGAACUAGGAAGUGUCCCUCAGGUCACACUCUAGCGGCAUCUCUUAUCACAAGACGGUAAUGUCAGACACCUCCCUCAUGGUCUGUGGUGCAGCCCUCAUCUAGUGUGGCAUAUAAAUCGCCUCGAAGUGUGGGCUGUACUCCUAGCACUGAAUUUCUUCUCGUCAGUUGAGAGGUCACCAUGUGUUAGACAACACAGCGGUGGUCUCAUAUAUCAACCACCAGGGAGCAUUACGUUCACGCCCCCUUUUCAGGCAGACUCAACUAAUUCUUCUCUGGUAGAGGGGAAGUUUGGUCAGUGAGUGCAAUGUAUAUUCCGGGCUACUGGAAUGUUGGGGCAGACAUCCUGUUGAUGCAGAGGCUGAGGCCUGGGGACUGGAGGCUCCAUCCACAAGUGGGUGAGUCCAUAUGGCGGAGGUGCGGCCGAGCGGAAGAGGACGUGUUCACUUCUGAGGAGACAACACGCUGCCCGCUGUUUUUCGCCCUCACUCCUCCUGCACCAAAAAAUAAAUAAAUAAAAAGGACAGGGCUGGACACCAUGGAACACAUGUGGCUGAGGUCACAUCUGUACGCCUUUCCCCCGAUCACUCUCCUUCCACAGGCUCUAGUGAGAGUUCGCCAAGACCGUGCUAUGUCUGCUGCUGAUAGCACUGGAUUGGCUAGCUCAAAUUUGGUUAUUGGAGAUAAUAUCUCUGCUGGACGGCCCUCUCUAGGAGUUUCCAGUUCACCAUGACAGCCAUACCCUCAGUAUGAAAGGGAAUGUCUGGGGUAAAUGUAACCCUGUUCCCUGAGAAGGGAAUAAGCCAUUGCAUAGCUUUUUCAUACUGGGGCAUGCCUGUGAAUCGCGUCUUUGCUUCAGAUAAUAGAGGCUGAUGACGUGGUUCACAGGCACCAUUUUAUAGUUAUGAUUUUACACAGACUUCAGAUACCGGUCAUGCGUGAGGGCACUUCCCACAGCGUGAAGCUCAUGCAAUGUCUCGUUCCCAUCUCAGAGAACAGGGUUGCAUGCGUAACCCAGACGUUUUGCCUCGUAACUCUAGUUUUUGGUUCUUGUUUUCAGUGUUUUUGUUGUUUGUUUGCACCGUUCACUAAUAAAUCUGCACUUGCAUCGACUGCUGCCAACUCCCAGUUCCUGACUGUACUGGACAUGGAGCAAAUAUAUUAAAGAAAUACUGCAGGGUUUUUAAUGAUAAUCUCUACAUAGUAGAUGUGAUAACUAUGCAAAAAUAAUUUUAAGCCAGCUCCCUGUACUGAGAACAGAACUAAGAGGCAUCUGACGUACUUCUCACCGAAAAAAUAAAAUCACAUUUAUACACAUUUGGAGCUGAAUUUAUGAAUAGCUUUGACCGAUGAAUUCAUGAAAGUAUUUCACGUAAAGGGUUAUUCACUACCAGAACAACUGCCCUUAGACUUCCAUUAUAAGUGAGUUUCAGGUAAACAGGUUUUCUUUUCAUUCGUCAGUACAGAGAAAUAUGUUGAAAUUUGUAUUAAUCCAUAUAUUUUGAGUUGAAUACACAUGCAGUGAAUAAAGACAUUUUUUUAGUUACAUUUAUAUAGUGCUUUUCUAGACUCUCAAAGUGCUUUACACAGUAUGGGGGAGGGGUGUCACCUCAACCACCACUAGUGUGUAGCAUCAACCUGGAUGGUGUGACGGCAGCCACACACCAGCUAUUUAAGUUGAAAAUACUGAAGUGUUCCUUUAAGUCCUUAACAGUGUACAAAAGCAGUACAAGAACCUGUUAUUGCACUAUAAAUCUGUAAAUGGCUAGGCACAAGUUCAUGAACAAGAAGAGAGAAACAGAAUACACUCAUACUAACUGAACAAGUGUGAGCCCUGUGUUUUCACCAUGUUCACGUUGUCCUCGCUUCACCCAACCAGCUUUACCUUGAAUGCCACUUUUCCAUCACAGUAAUGAGCUUUUAUGUGGUGAAAAGUGCUUUUGCAGAGGCCAAAUCAAAUUUGCUCUAUUCAGGAGAGGAAGAGAAGGAGCCAUAAUAGAAGCUAGCAGGCGCUGGUGUGUCAUCCUGCAGGAUGGAUGGUCGAGGAACAGCCUUGGCGUAGCUCCUACCUGUCUGAGCCCUGCUGGCACCCCUCCAACUGCUUAACCGUCCAUCAGCCUGUGGUUCCAGUGACUGGCUGGCCUUAGCUGUCGCUCCUGGGGACAUACACACAGACACACAUAUAGAUGAAAAUUAGAAAGAGAAAACACAUGAGCUGAGUAAGUACAGCUACUGAACUCCAAGCGCAUCAAGCGCCACUCUGUCUGGCAAGAGAUGCAAAGCUUGAAGGGCAUGCAAACCACACAUCCACACCAGUAAUUCCAGCCUGAGAGAACACAGCUCAGUAAGCGGGAGCAAAUUAUACUUUUAAGCAACUUUCUUUGUUCCUUGUUUUGUCACAUCCUGGAAGGAACUUGAUUCGUCUCCUCCACAACAUGGCAGGAGAGGUUGCUGUCGCACCUGUUUUCUGGCAGCGAGAAGGCUUGGGCUUAGGGUUAUUUUAUAAUGAGUAGAGGCAACGCUCACAGGGACUGUCAGAUGUACUGCAGCCCACCAGCGAGAUCAGCCGGGAAGAGAUAGAGAGAGAGAGAGAGUGAGAGAGAGGAAAGCAGGUAGGAGAGUGAUAAGAGACAGAGAGGAAGAGAGGAAAGCAGCAGAUGAGGAGAGACAGGAGGGAGGAUGACAGUGCCAGGAGCCAGCUGCUAUAUGAUCUGUACUCUUUUACAGCAUUGCAUGAUGGGAGAUGAGCUGACAUGGGCUAUGAGGUCACUCUGAGAUGGCUGGAUUAGAUUGAUUUAAUAGUAGUGUCUCUCCAAUACCUUCCUGCAUACCAAAAAAGCAGGCAUAACAACCUGAGUGGGUUGUUAUAUAUUUGCACAAUGCUAAAUACAGACGCAUUAAAAAAAAUAAAAUAAAAAUAAACAAAGUAGCACCAUUUGGAUGGUGGGCUGUGCAAUCACCUUGUAAAAUGUAUUUUAUGGCCCAUUGUUUAUGGGCAAUUAUGAAGGCAGGUGUAGGAAUGAGACGCACACACACUCGGUUUGAAGUAUGCGGUGGUUUGGAGUGUUCAGAACAAAGACGCUUAAUAUCCAUCUGCGUGUAUUAAUAAGUGUGUAAAGACAUAGUGUCCCACAUUCUGUAUCCUACGCCCGUGCCUCAUCAUCCUGCAGUCGUCUUCAUCUUCCUCAUGCCUAAUGUACAGGCCCUGAUGCACUCCCGACCAACAUCUGGGUCAUCUCUCAUGUAUUUCACACACAUACACACCUCAUAUAUAUUCUCACCAUAAAUAGCUUCUCAUAUCUUAUAGUAAGAGGUACAGUAGGCUGCAUGCAAGCACUUUUUAUAACCUGAACAUUUUCUUUGCACUUUCCUUUUUUUCCCAAAGUGCCUCUGGGCUCCAUUUGCCCAAGAGGACUUUAAAUGCGAUCAAAGGAGAGAUUAGAAGAGCACCACAGAAGGUAUUUAAAAACAAAGGCCGUUAUUGUUGCGCCGUGGUGUCCUAGCAUGAGAGUCCGUGCUGUUAGAGUGCUCGAAUUCAGCUCAGACCUUAAACACACUCAGAGACUUACCAGGGCACGGGGGAAAUGAUUAAAAACCUUCAGCAUUUUCAGCCGCUUCCAAAAAUAAGUUAGCUUUGAUGUGUGUUUGUGUUGAAGGCAAGACCAGUGUUGUUGUAUUUUUUUCCUGCCCCAAGUGGUACAAGAGAACACAGGUAAAUGACACAGUUGUCCUAUGCUCUUUUGCCCAGGGCCUUGUAUAUUCUUUCUUUUUUCUGGAAAAAAAUGACCCUUUACAAAGGAAGAAAUACAGAAAGAGAGGAAGAAUGAGAGAGAGAAAGUGAGUAGGAGACUAAAGCAGGGAAGGAGAGACUGAGAAUGUGUGGGUAUGUGUGUAGCCCAGUUAGAGCCCAUUUCUGUGAGGGCCCCUGGCUAGAGUGUUCAAACAGCCAUGAUAUUAAAAUAAAAAGUGUGCAGGAGCGGUGGGGUUUGGAGCGAUCCAUAGUGAGGUAUUGAUCAAGGUUAGGACUCAUCCUGAUCGUGCCGCUGGCUGGAGGGCUUCUCACUCUCACUCACACACACACACACACACAAACACACGCUCUUACAAAUAGGUGUGUACUCUAAAAACGGGAUUCCACAUCUGAGCUAACAAGGAAAUCUCGGGGGCUCUGUGAAGCUCUGAGGAGAGCAAAAAAAAACCAAAAACAUUUCUAGCUUUUUUUUUUUUAACUUCUCUCAAGAUAGCAACACUGAUCAGCUCAGCAUGUGCUCAAAACAUACCUGAACCAGCAAUCUCAUCCAAAACACUUCAGGCCUAUAGGAGAACUUUUAUAUUGUGUGCUCAAUUUGCUUGUUUAUGCUGGUGAACAGACAUGCUGACUGUGACAGACAUAAAUCUCCACCUCAUACUACAGGAAGCUCGGGUAUGAGAAGUGAAAUCUUAAUAAGGAAACAUGGAGGAUUUAUAAGUUCUUUCAUAGACAAUAUGGGACUACUCGGGUUUUCAUGUGCUACAUUUUAAAACAUGUCUGCAGGUUUACUUAGUGUGGGCUAAAGCAGGACUGAACACAUGCUGAUGUAUAAGGAAACCAUUACUGUACCUCCAGCAAGUGCUCCCCAAUGAAAGGAAGGAGAGAAGUACUUUUUUUGGUUGUUUAUUUGGUUGGGUUUUUUAAAAAUUAUUUUUAAGCCGACCUGAAAAAAUGGCUAUGAAAAUGAUUUAUGUUUCAGCUUUCUUUCUAAAUAAGUGUAUAUGCAUAUUCACUGAUCAGCCAUAACAUUAAAACCGCUUGCCUAGUAUUGUGUAGGUCCAACUUUUGCCAUCAAAACAGCUCUGACUCAUCGAGACAUGGACUCAACAAGACCUUUGAAGGUGUGCUGUUGUAUGUGGCACCAAGACUUUAGCAGCAAAUCCUUUAAAUCCUGUAAGUUGUGAGGUGGAACCUCCAUGGAUCAGACUUGUUUGACCAGCAUAUCUCACAUAUGCUCGAUUUGAUUGAGAUAUGGGGAAUUUGGAGGACAAGCCACCUUCUUCCAUUGAUGCAUGGUCCAGUUCUGAUGCUCACAUGCCCAUUGUAGGUACUUUUGGUGGUGCACAGGGGUCAGCAUGGGCACACUGACUGGUCCGCAGCUACGCAGACCCAUACAUGCUGCGGUGCACCGUGUGUUCUGACAUCUUUCAGAAUUAACGUUUUCAUCAAUUUGUGAUACAGAAGCACUUCUGUGGGAUCAGGCUAGACAGGCUAGCAUUCUCUCCCCACAUGCAUCACUAAGCCUUAGGCGCCCAUGACACUAUUGGCGAUUCACCGGUUGUUCUUCCUUGUAGCACUUUUUGUAGGUACUAACCACUGCAUAAUGGGCACACCACACAAGACCUGCUGAUUUGGAGAUGCGCUGACCCAGAUGUAUAGCCAUCACAAUUUAGCCUUUGUCAAAGUUGCUCAGAUCCUUACGUGUGCCCAUUUUUCCUGCUUCCAACACAUCAACUUUGAGAACUGACUGUUCACUUGCUGUUAAAUAUAUCCCACCCCUUUGCAGGUGCCAUUGUAAGGAGAUAAUCAAUGUUAUUCAUGUCACCUAUUAGUGGUUUUCAUGUAAUGGCUAAUCGGUGUAUACAGCAUAUGCACCUCCCUGAAACUGUUCAUGGAGUAAAGGAAAACUACUCAUGUAUGUUUAUAAAUGAUAGUUGCUAGCUUUCUCCGCUUUUCACCGAGCACUUUGCCACACACUAAAAAGGGGAAAAAAACAGGCUGAAUUGUAUUUAUGUAUAUUUAUACCUAGACUAACUCUCGCUGUGUAAUAAAGUAUUAGUGAAAUGCUAUUCAUGAACUCUUGCCUAUUUGUGUGAGGAUGUUUUUUUCCAUGGAGACCACAGAGCAACUGUAGAAAUGUGUCCUUAUUGUUAAUCAAAUUACCCUUAUGUCUGGCUAAGUUUAGACUAGAAGUGCUGUAACAUCAGAGACUGCAUUGUACGUCUGUGUGUGUGUGUGUGUGUGUGUGGGAGAGAGAGUUUAUUCUGCAUUCAGAAUCACUAAUUUAUGUCCUGUAAAUAUAUAUCGUAUAUUGGUAUUGAGUAAUUCUGUAUGCCACUGUCGUUGCUUUGUAGUAAAAUGUUAUUGCAAUAAAAUGUUCAUUUAUUUUAUCACAUUUUAUUCUAUGCUUUUAAUUACAUCUUAUUAUAUCCUACUCCAUUCUAUUCUAUACUUUUCUAUUCUAUUCUGUGAUAUUAUAUCCCACUUUAUCAUAUUGAUCCCCAGCCUCCUCUAUUAUAUAAUAUAUAUAUACUUUCUAUUCUAUUUAUUCUAUUCUAUUCUAUUCUACUCUAUUCUAGUGUGUAAUGCUAUGUCCCAUUUUGCCCUGUUUUAUCCUGAUUUUCCAGAUUCUAUUCUAUUUGUUUCUAUUCUACUCUGGGAUAUUAUACCCUAUUUUAUCAUAUUGUUUACCAGUCUGUUCUAUUCUAUUUCUAUUCUAUUCUAUUCUGUUCUAUUGAAUUAUAUUCUAUUCUGUAAUGUUAUGCCACAUUUCGUCCUGUUUGAUCUUGAUUUUCUAUUAUUAAAUCACUUAUUAAAUCAUAUUUUAUUAUUUCCUAUUCUAUUCUAUUUUUCCAUUCUAUUCUAUUCUAGUCAAUCAUAUUAUAUAACAAUCUAUCCUAUUUUUUUUCUAUUCUAUUCUAUUUGAUUUUAUUGCUGCAAACAAAAAGCAUGCCCACCAUAAACAACACAUAAGCAAAUACCCAGUGGCAGCACUAGCACUGGACAGCACCAGCUUUAGAGAAUGAUCAAAUGUGGCAAAAGCCAUCUGAAACUUGUCCCCUCUAUUCAGAACCUCAGCCACAGUGCAACGUUCAGCACUGGCAAAUGUCAACGGCAAGGAGAAGUGAUUCUAUAUUGUUUCUCUCUCUUCAGCUUCUCAUCAGCUUGUCAGGGAGCAGUCUGGUCACUCUAAAUGGAGAAAUUCCCUGCUUACUCAUGCAUACCACUGGCAAAUUGUCCCUCUCAGAUCCUGGCCUUGGCGUGUGAUUUGCGCUAGACAGCGUGACACAGAGAGUCUCUGCCUCAUUGGAAAAGGCCAGUGCAGAAAUAGACAAACUAGUUCAAGAGGUGCAGUUGAAGAAAAUUGUAUCUUUCAGAGCUAGGCAGCACGCCGGAACAGGGAGGAAGACAGCGGGAGAGGAGUGAGACGCCUUUUAGUACUGACCUUGGCAAGGGAGUGGGUGGCCAGCAGCAUUUGGAAAGGUCUCACUGAGGCUGCCGUGCAUGUUAUUGUCAUCAUACUAUGAAUUAGGAGGUGAGAAAGACAGAAAAAAAGACCGGGGAGAAAAAGACCGAGCAAAAUAUCAAACAACCUUCACGGGGGUGGCAAAUAAGUGCUACCUGAUGAGAUGCUUCAUGAAACUCCAGAUAUGUGUGCCAUCCUGGACCUCACAAAACUGGACACCAUAUUCAAAUAAAGUGGAGCUGAAUGGAUACUAAGUAAAAAGAAUGAAUCACGUAUAUCAUAUCAGUCCAUGUGGAAUGUGUGGAGGAGAAACUGCAUGAUAAAGCAGUAAUGGGACACCCACUAACAGCCUCUCAUUUACAUUAGGUGAACGACUGUGUGCAGAACAAUCAUCUUUAAUAUUAAUAAUGGCUUCAUGCGCCCCCUAUGGACCGUGUGAUUUCCGUCCCUGCGUGUCCAGCCAUGCUGCGCCACUGCACAACAGGCACGGAUUAUUAAUGCUUUUUACCAACUUUGCCUUCAAGAUCAUAUGUAAUAACAGAGAACACCCGUUAGCGGAGAAGUAGAUCAAUUAGACAGCACUUUUAAAAGAGGUUAUGCAGCAAUUCAUAAAUGGAGCUAUGAGCUAUGAGGGAAGGGGAGACGAGCAAAAAAAGAAAAAGAAAAUGCUCAGCCAUGUUAUAGUCCAUGAAUAACAAUGAGAAGGUAUCAGCCAGUAUAACAGCAUGGGAUCACGUAGAGACCUGUUGAGAGCUUCAGCUACAAUAGUGCGAAGAUAAACUUCUGGCUUGUUACUGAUGAGAGGAAUGCAAAAUGUAAUAGCAAAAGGACCCACAGGUACAUACAACGGUGUGUCUACACAAACGCACGCACACACACACACAAACACACACACAGCAAAAAAAAAAACAUUUUAGCUUUCUUCUCUUCUCUCCUUCAUGGUCCUUUUGUCUGAAAACAGCCUUCACAAGCUAUUCUUCCAAGGAAAGUGACUUAAACAAUGAAAGCAUGGUAUUACACUUAUUCAAAACAAUUUAUCGUGUACCACCUAGGAAAUCCUCAUCUCUUCUUUUCAAAGUGCACAGCAUUCUAGCCAUAAAUACCAAACAAGGAGAUCUACUAAAUCACAAACCACAUUAAACAUGCUUACUUUGAGAUGAACUCUGGCCUACACUGUCCAAAUUUUUAUUUCUUCUCUGAUCCUUAAUCUCUCAGCCAGCGUCUGGUAUACAAAUUAUCAGCUACUGACAACUCUACUACAUUUUAGAUCACUGCUAAAGCUUUUUUAAAAUGAUAUUUUAUUAACAGAUGCUGUGAAAAGCUUCUUCCUGGCCUGGUGACCACACCAAAGAGACUAACUGAAAAUGUUCCUCUCCAUUAGUGCAGAAACACUACAAUAUUAUUACUAAAGACUUAACUAACAGCCACUGAAACUUUCCAGGACUUUUUCAUAGCCAUCUCCCAAAUAAAAUCCAGUAAGAAGAACUUUACUCUUUGUGAUCAGUGUACCAAAACAGUGUCUUUUAAUAUAGACUCUCGGAAAAAAAGAGUACUACUGUAAACUGUAUCUUUGCUCGUCUCUAGGGUGUUGCUUUAUUCAAAGAAAUUAAUUAUGGUCCAUUUAUGCAUCUUAAAUAAUUUUUAAAUGUACACUAUAAGCAUGAUACAAGGGAACGAUACAAAUUAAAGGUACAUAAGAUGUUCAUUUGAGGCUACCACCCCAGCAAGAAGGGAAGUACGGUUUUGUUCUGAAAGUAUAUGAUUUGUAUAAGCAUAUACAUCUUAACAAUGAAUUCUGAUUAUCACUUAAGCCAAUACAUUACAGAUUUGGUCUGCACAGUAUACUGAUUGUUAAUCAUAUACAUAAACACAAUAUUGUGGCUUUUGCAAUACUGUCUGUCUCAAAAGGCUGAAAUAUGCAAAUGACCACAACAAACCACAUUUUUUGGGAGUACUGUAGGCAUCCUGACCAUUUUAUAACUUCUAGAUAUGCUCUAUGUGAAUGCUUUGAAUAAUACUAGCAUUGACAUAAUCAAAAAAGUUUCUUUUUAGUGUAAUGUUUAGUGUUCACUGCAUUUUUGUAUUAUAUAAUCUGCAUUUAAUGUAUGUACUGACUUUGUGCUGUUGUCACUGUAUUUCCUUCUCCACUUUUCUGUUGCUAUUUCAUCAAGUGCAAGACUGAUUCUGAGGGAACUAUAUUUCAUUUCUAACAUUGCAUAACAGAAAUGACAAAAGCAUUAUUUUAAAGUGGGAUAGAUUGUAGCUGUGACUCAUCACAUGUUCAUGGGUAUGCUUUAAUAUAUUGCAAAGGAUAUCAGCAAGCGUCUACAGAAUAUAACCGCAACCUGCUUUUUCUGUCCAAACUCCCAACCCUACAACAGACAGUCCCUCCAUGAUUUCACGAUUUCAUGAUCGCAGAAAUGAAUGCAAAUUCACGAGAACUCCAAAAUAUUUGGAGGAGCUAGUAAUUUCUUAAAAUUACCAGAGAUGUUCUGCAGAUUUGGGCCAAGAUGCGUCAUGUGACGUCAUCACAACGCGCAUUCAGCCAAAGCCCUCUUUGAUUCACGUGCGUCAAACAUGAGUACAGAUAAAAGGUCUCAUUUACCAACAAACAUCACUGCGAAAGACCGUGCGAAACAAUUUCAUGCAAUUGUAUUAUCACCAAUUUAAGUAGAUUUCCACAAAAAAAGCACAAAAAACUCUGCAAAUUGUAUUGUCCCAGCAAAAUCAAGUAUUUUUGGCCACAACUAUUGCAAAAAAAGCUCAGCAAAAUUCUGUAUGGUAUGAAUAGACUCUAAUAAGACUUAUUAUAUAGGCUGUUUUCUAUUUAGCUCGUUAAUGAAUGUCCCAUUGACACAUCUCUGUUGGUUUUAUAGCAAACAAUCAGGACAAUUUUUUCUGAAAUUUAUUAGCAUUUAGCAAAUAUUUGCACUUAUUUGACAAAUUAAGCCUUACACACAGUGUCUUUCAGUAUCUUUUUACUAUUAUAUAUAUAAAAGUUUAAAUACUUCAUUUUACAAUGAAUCUUACAAUCCAUGUGUCCACUCGCUUGAGUAUCAUGACUGGUGUAUUAUGUCUGAGGACAAGGCAAAAUACAGAUGAACAGUAAGCAUGAUGCCUCUGCCACUGUGCUGCCUGCUUAGUCCACUUAACACACACUGCAG
ensembl:lncRNA